AUUGAACGCUGGCGGCAGGCCUAACACAUACAAGUCGAGCGGAUGAGUGGAGCUUGCUCCAUGAUUCAGCGGCGGACGGGUGAGUAAUGCCUAGGAAUCUGCCUGGUAGGGUGGGACAACGAUUCGAAAGGAACGCUAAUACCGCAUACGUCCUACGGUAGGAAGUGGGGGCUCUUCGGAACUCGCGCUCACAGAUGAGCCUAGGUCGGAUUAGCUAGUUGGUGGGGUAAUGGCUCACCAAGGCGACGAUCCGUAACUGGUCUGAGAUGAUGAUCAGUCACACUGGAACUGAGACACGGUCCAGACUCCUACGGGAGGCAGCAGUGGGGAAUAUUGGACAAUGGGCGAAAGCCUGAUCCAGCCAUGCCGAGUGUGUGAAGAAGGUCUUCGGAUUGUAAAGCACUUUAAGUCGGGAGGAAGGGCUGUAGGUUAAUACCCUGCGGUUUUGACGUUACCGACAGAAUAAGCACCGGCUAACUUCGUGCCAGCCGCCGCAGUAACAC
rnacentral:rRNA from 1 species